AAAAAAGCAGGGCCCCUGUUGCCUAUGUCAACAGGUCUCUCGUGAACUUCAGGGAAAUCACUAUCAUUGUUAUUGGGUGAACCUGUCUUUUUUUUUUUCUUUUCUUUUCUCUUCUUUUCUUUUCUUCUUUGUGGCUGAAGGUUCAGUAAAUGAUGGCACACUU